CCUACGGGCGGCUGCAGUAGGGAAUAUUGCUCAAUGGGGGAAACCCUGAUGUAGCAACGCCGCGUGGGGGAUGAAGGUUUUCGGAUUGUAAACUCCUUUUGUUAGAGAAGAUAAUGACGGUAUCUAACGAAUAAGCACCGGCUAACUCCGUGCCAGCAGCCGCGGUAAUACGGAGGGUGCAAGCGUUACGCGGAAUCACUGGGCGUAAAGAGCGCGUAGGCGGGAUAGCAAGUCAGAUGUGAAAUCCUAUGGCUCAACCAUAGAACUGCAUUUGAAACUGUUAGUCUAGAGUACGGGAGAGGUAGGUGGAAUUCUUGGUGUAGGGGUAAAAUGCGUAGAGAUUAAGAGGAAUACUAAUUGCGAAGGCGGCCUGCUAGAACAUAACUGACGCUGAUGCGCGAAAGCGUGGGGAGCAAACAGGAUUAGAUACCCGAGUAGUC
rnacentral:rRNA from 1 species